CAAGCCAACAUGCUUUUCUGACAAUUCUGACCCACAAACCUGUGCACUGUGGAAGAUACGUCACAUUGGCUGAGGCGCCAAGAGAGCACAGACCAAUGACAGCAUGUUGACAGUGCAAUGACAGAAACCGGCACAUUCAAAUGGAGUUUGUGGUGGAUAAUGGGCUGAGGGGCAAAGCGCAACCAGCCUGGAUAAAAAAGAAGUGGGAGAACCUUAAGCAGAAAUACAAGGAUCUGAAGUGUCCUGGAUCAAGGGUCAGCAUAGAGGGAGGGGAGGCAACAGCAGCCUCCUGGAAAUGGUAAGGGGUGAUGGAUGCAGCAUUGGGCAGCAAGCCAUCCAUCACCCCACCAGUGCUUAUCUCUUCAGCAAGCCAGGAGACAGUUGUAGUCUUAACUGUUGAGACCUGUUGAUGAUUGCCUGUUGCUGAUCCAGUCAUUCAGGAUGGCUGUACUUCAUUAAGAAAGAGAGGGAGGAAGGAGGGCCAGGUAGUAAACUAUCUAAAACAGAUGGAGAAUAGAGAGGAAAGGGGAGAAGCUGAACAGCAGGCAAAAGGGGAGUAAAGACAUGAGGAGGCCAGGAGGAGAGAGGAGGAGGCGGGUGGGACAAGGGAGGAGUGAAGAGAGGAGAGGCAGCAGGAAAGGUUUUUGGCAUUUCUGGAUGCAACUAGUUAAAAAAUAAAGUUUUGUUUUUUUAUUUAACAAUUAAUUUAUUUGUGUUUGCUUCAACUGUCUCACUGACAUUGUCUUCCAUUGUCUCAAGUGAUGGUUGCAGAUUGCCUGAAGCUGGAUGGAUGUAAAUAGCUUCUUACUAAAAUAAGAGCUAGCAUCCCCUACAGGGGGCUUAAUCCGGAUGUGGCAGCCGUCAAUGGCACUGACUGCCACGCAAAAUGCUGGAGAGCCUGCUAACUGGGCAAAGCCAGUACCCACUUCCUUGAUCCUGUCUGGUUGACGAAACCGGACAAUCCUCUUCAGGAGCCCAACUACUUCCAAGCUGAUCUUAUGUAUUAUCCUGUGGACCAAAGUCUUGGGGAUGUCAAAGGCCCUUGAGACUUGUCUGUAAGAAGCUGCAUGGGCAAGCCAGUAUAGGAAUAGAAGGACUUGACUUUUCCCAUCCAUAAUCAGCUUCAUUGUAAGAGCACCUGUAAGUGCUGUUAUGGACUCUCUUGUCAGGCGAAGGUCAGGGCAGAGGUUGGACACACCAUAGAGCUGCAGGAUGGGCAUGUUCAGGUUCAAAUGGCAGAAUGAUGUGGGGUGGACAAGAAAU